CUGAUCUAGCGAUGCCGCGUGUGUGACGAAGGCCUUAGGGUCGUAAAGCACUUUCGCCAGAGAUGAUAAUGACAGUAUCUGGUAAAGAAACCCCGGCUAACUCCGUGCCAGCAGCCGCGGUAAUACGGAGGGGGUUAGCGUUGUUCGGAAUUACUGGGCGUAAAGCGUACGUAGGCGGAUUAGUAAGUUAGAGGUGAAAUCCCAGGGCUCAACCCUGGAACUGCCUUUAAUACUGCUAGUCUAGAGUUCGAGAGAGGUGAGUGGAAUUCCAAGUGUAGAGGUGAAAUUCGUAGAUAUUUGGAGGAACACCAGUGGCGAAGGCGGCUCACUGGCUCGAUACUGACGCUGAGGUACGAAAGUGUGGGGAGCAAACAGGAUUAGAUACCCUGGUAGUCCACACCGUAAACGAUGAAUGCCAGUCGUCGGGUAGUAUACUAUUCGGUGACACACCUAACGGAGUAAGCAUUCCGCCUGGGGAGUACGGUCGCAAGAUUAAAACUCA
rnacentral:rRNA from 1 species